CUCACAAGGAUAAGUGGUUUGUUUUCUUUUUAAGUUCAAUUCUGAUGAACAAGACAAAUUUGUGUCCAAUUAGCUGGAACUAAAUUUAAUUCAGUUGAAACAGUUCUGGGAAGUAGUUAACAGUCUCAAUGGGGCCAGGGAGAGGCUGGGUCACUAGAGUGCUUGCCGCACAAACAUGGGGACUUGGUUGAGGAUCUCUAGCACAAACCUAAAAAGAAGCUGGAGAAAGAAGGUAUCACCAUAUUUUCAACUCUGUUCCCUGAGAAAAGCUGACAGUUCGAGAGAAACGUUAUCGGGCAAUGCUGGCCACAAGUACCAUGCACUUAACCAUCCACAAAGAAGCAAGAGUCUCUGGAGUGUAGCAAAUUGUAGAUUACUGAUAAAAAUGGGAAGAUCUGUGACUGAGAUUAUCGGAGGAAACAUUUCAGAAAAUGUCUUCCAUAUCAAAUUACACCUACUGUCUACGGUACUUGAUAGAGACAUACGUGGUAUCUUUGAUGUUGGCACAGUAAUUGUCAUAUUUUUUCCUAAUAACACUCAUCUUAUUUACUUUUAAAACAAUGUAAGUAGAAAAUCACACAUGUGUAGUUUGAAUGGGAAGUGUCUCAUGUAUUCCAACACUUGGUUGCCUGUUGGUGAUGUUGUUUGAGGUUACAAAGCCUUUAGGAGUUAGAACUUUGCUGGAGGAAGCAUGGGGGUGGGCUUUGAGGGCUUACAGCCUCUCCCUACUUCCUGUUCUCUCCCUAGCCCUUCCCUCCUUCCCCUCUCCCUGCUUCCUGUUUGUGAUUGAGGUGUGAUUUCUCAGCUUCCUACUCCUGUUGCCAGGCAGUGCCUUCGCCCCUGCCCUGAUGGGUUCACCUUGCUUCCUGAGUUGCCUUUGGUCAUGGCAUUUCUUCUCAGUGGGAGAGUUUGUUUUGGCUUAUAGUUCCAGAGGGUCAGAGACUUAAUAACAGGGACAACCUGUCGGGCAGGGGUGGCAGGAUGCGGGCACAAAACAGAGAGAGCCCUGGCCCACUCCUAGUCGGUUAUUUCUCCACAAAGCUGCAUCUUCCUAAACAGCACCACCAACUGGGCACCAAGUGUUCAAACGCCCGAGUCAUGGGGGCAUUUUCAUUGAAAACACUACACAACACUAGAUAUGCAUCUGAUCUAUUUCUGUUGAGGGGAAAACCAUGGUGCUGCUCUGAAGACAUAGUUUGCUUAUCCUGGACUGUUUAAUAGAGAGCCACCAAUGUUGAUAAAGUUCAUAGGCAAGCCAGGCUCUUGCCACCCUCUACCACCAAUUCUUCACCUGCAAGCUCUUUAGGGAUUCAUUGCACAUGAGUUCUGCUAUUAGGGAAAAAUAAAUGCUUUGCUGGUUUCACAUA